GACAGAGGAUGCAAGCGUUAUCCGGAAUGAUUGGGCGUAAAGCGUCUGCAGGUGGCUUUUUAAGUCCGCCGUCAAAUCCCAGGGCUCAACCCUGGACAGGCGGUGGAAACUACCAAGCUGGAGUACGGUAGGGGCAGAGGGAAUUUCCGGUGUAGCAGUGAAAUGCGUAGAUUUCGAGAAGAACGCUCGCUGCGAAAGCGAAGCUCUGGCCAGAUUCUGACGCUGAGGCACGAAGGCUAGGGGAGCAAACGGG
rnacentral:rRNA from 1 species